rnacentral:rRNA from 1 species
CGGUUUUGGAUGGGCGUGCGCCUGAUUAGGUAGUUGGUGAGGGUAACGGCCCACCAAGCCUGCGAUCAGUAACUGGUGUGAGAGCACGACCAGUCACACGGGCACUGAGACACGGGCCCG